AGCUGUUCUGUUAUUGUAAUUCAGCCUGUGUUGGAGCCACAAAAUUUGGCUGUGCCUCAGUCUCUCCCAGGCAUCUAGCCCUCUGUCAGCUCUGGAGCAGCAGUUUAAAUGGGAUGGCUGAGGCUGUUACUGCUGUUUAGGUAGCUCCCCCCCUUCCAGUGAAUUUGGUUGAGACAAAAAAGGUGUCACAUCCCUCCAUGAAUCAGCUGAAGAACAGCUGUGCGUUUUAGCCUUGCUCACCAGAGUGAACUAUUUUUGCUACAGGCACAACAAGAUCCAGAGCUGGCCAAUGGUAAUAUGCAGAGUGGACACCCUACAUGUAUUUUCAUCAAAGAGAACAAGAAGUGAGAAAAUGAAGAAGCUUUUCUGCUGCUGAACCUAAAAUACAUCAAGAGAGACAGUGAUGUUCCUAGACCUCCUAAAAGAUGAGUAAUGGAUGAAGACAGUACUGCUGACCUCCGUUGCUUUGAGAUCUGCUGCUGAAAACUAUAACAGCUAGAAUUGAACUGACUGCAACUCAGAAGUUACUUCCAUUACAAUUGUAUGUGUCACAGUUACCAUAUUCUGUCAAGCUGGUAAAUACUCCAGAAAACUUGCAUCCUUAAGGAGAUAAGAAGGUAUGGCAUAAUACAACACAUUAGGCGAAAUACGAUCGUGAUGCGAUAACUUCAUCUACCUGCCAUGUCUGAAGGCUUCUAGUAGCACCCUGAGUAGGCAAGUCCAGCUCAUUCAUCUUUUCUGACUAAAUGUAUUUGUGACUGACUGGUAAGUGGUCUCUUCCUAGAUACCAGGUCUCUAGAAGCACAAAGUAAAUGCGAGUAACACAAAUACUAUGAACUCAUCAGCACACCGGAAGUAUAAAGUUCCAAAUUUCAGCUCAGAAGGAUAUAAGUUUAAAAUGCCCUUUAAUCUUUAUGUACUUUUAAUGUGCAUAUCUAAUCAUAAUCUCCCUGAUUGCUUAUAGCUUGUGUACAGCUACAGUAGGUACUCUUCAGUGGAUUUGUUAUUUAGAUCUCUAGAAAGGAGUAGGAAUGGAUCAGAAAGAUAGGGCUGAAAACUCAACUUCAAAGUAUUCGAAAUUAUUUAAAGAUGAUUGAUAUAAAAAGGAAAAAUCAAUUUCCUCAUAAACAUAGAAAGAAUAACUGAUUUGAAAUUCUCUAAAACCACAUUACAAUUCUGGAAAUAUUAAUAGAGCAGGGAUAGGAAGAGGCCCAGACCUUACAAAGAAUUGACAGCUAUGACUGUGAGCAAAACUAAUGCUUCUAUUCAGUGGCCCACACAAAGACAAUAUGCAAUGAAAAAUUGGGAUUGAGCCAUUACCACCCUGCGAGAUUUUCUUGCUGGUCUGAAGAGUGAAAUGAAAACCUGAAUGAAAAUAGAAUGCUGCUACUUAUAAUGUUGAUGCUAAAUAUGCUGAGCUUCAACUCAGUUGCAUUCAGCAACUAGCAUCCUAUGAUCCCAAGUGGGCACGACCUACUGCAGAUAUUUGUUUAAUAUAAAAUCUUGAGGAGAUUCUAGAAUUCAUUGCUAAGUUUUCAGAACAGACCUAGAAGUUACAACUAACGUACAGAGUUUACUUGCGCUUCACAUCUUUGCCAGAUAGUGGCAUUUAAUUUUUAAACUGAAAAUGAAAUUUCGCCAGAAAACUUUACCGAGUCCUUAAUCAAUCUAUUCAAGGAAAGUUACUUUUAGCAAUAACAUUGAAUCUCCCCUGCUGCAGCACUUUCAUUACUUCUUUUCCAAUCUAUAGUUUCUAUUUUCUUCUUUGCAGAAACAUUGCUCGUGGUUAUGGGCUGACAUCCCAUCUUCCCUUAGCCUUCUCUUUAGACUAAACAAUGCCAAUUCCUUCCACCCUACCUCAUGCUCCCUUCUAGACUGUUGCUCAUUCUUUUUAGCCCUUUCUGGAUUGUCUCCAGCACAUCUACGUUUUUCUUAAAGUAUGGUGCCCAAAACAGUACUCCUUGACACUCACCAAUGUCAUGGAGAGCACAAUUACUUUACACACCUUGCACAGAAUAUUUGUACUCCAGGAUCACUGUUUUGUUUCAGUUUGGCAAUACUUGGUUAGUACAGGGAGCUUCUUUAUUUAUUAAACUGAAAAGGUAUAUUUGGAGACAAUCUUUCUUUGUGAAAGCUAGGUUUCAGGUAUAGUGUUGUGAUCAGGGUCUUAAGGCCAGAAAGUUGUAAAAAUUUGUUUUACUUUAUUACAGGGCACACUAGAAAACCAGGAGUUAGCUCUGAUUUACUGUAAAAAAUGCUCCCUAUUUACAUGGUUUUCAGAGAUGUAUGGCAACUGUCCUAUUUUGUGCUUUAAUAAAAUAGCAACAAAUACUACCUAGCUUUCUAGACAGACACAGGUAGGGAGUUGAGAAGAGCUUUGCCUAUGAGUAUCAGGGAUAUGCACACUAUUACAAAGUAUAAAGCCUUGUUACCUUUAUGUACCUUUGAGCUGAAACGCUGUUUCAUUAAAGUUAAUUGCAUUAGAGUUAACUCAGAUUUCACCAUUAGCGGUAAGGCUUUCUAGGUAGCAAUUUGUUGUUUACUACAAGUCUAAAAAAAGAGUCUUAGUUAACACUCUGUAGACACUAAUGUGUAAAUGUGUAUCCUAAUAAUUUUUCAAUAACUGAUUACCCCCCCCAUUACUUCAUUGUGUUUCCUUAAAUUGCAUAAUAAUUAACAAAGAGAAUUUGGUACAAAUCUUAUUGGGACUUGCUAACAAAACAUGAGGGUUAAUCCCUGGUCUGAGAGAAGGUAGGAAGGAUGUAGAACAGUACUAAUGCUCCAAUUGUAGAUAACUUACUCCUUAUUCUUCCACAGUUUUCUUGCACGGUAUGAGCGAGUGACUUAACUAUCAUACGUCUCCUUGUUUUUCAUGAGCUAGUUAAGAGAAACAUUCUUAUAUUCCUUCCAAAGUAAACUUUUUUUUUUGUUUAUUGUUGGACAAAUUUCUGUCCGACAAUAAAGACCAAGCAACUCUGUUGGUUAUCUUCACGUUAAAGUAGAUUAUACCCACUUUGGUUUCAAGAAUUCAUUAAAUUCAGGGUUGCAGUAACAUUAAAAUCCUAUGCUCUGGUCAGUAUUUUUAAACCAAAUUUCAAUUAACUUUAAAGAAGAAAAAAAAAGUAAAAGCACACCCACUGGCAGCGCUUAGCUGAAUCAAUAAAAAGCACAAAUAAAUACCACCAUAUCUGUACCAGUGUGAGUUUUGCAUACUCAGUUUCUGUUGUUAAAAUAUGGUUUAAAACACAAAGCUUUUAAAGCUUUGGGUAACAGAUAAGUUAUGGUAGUCAAAGUUUUAAGACAAGUACAGAUAAUUUAUCUUUUUUAGUGAUUUGGCUGCCAUUCUGGUAUUUCCUCAGCAGAAAUAACAUGUAAGGCUUCCCUUUGUUGCCCUAGCCCUCCAUUUUAAAUUUAUUCCUAUAUUAAACCACCAAAAUUUGUUUUGUUUCUUAUCUGCUUUUUAAGCCAGCAGUGACAAGUGGAAAGAAGGAAUUUUGUGAAAUUUCUGGAAAAGUUAAAACAGUCUGCAGUAGCAAUUUUCCAGAAAUGAAGGAUUGUUUGGCAUGUCUUCAAUGCAGUCCACAGAAGAUUUUUGUAAUUUCCUAGGGUAUAGAUUAUUAUUCUAAUCUUAUUUACCCAGCCUUGAAGUUCAUUCACUAAUGUAAUUGUAUCCAAAGCAAAAACACUGCCUAUUGAACUCUACAGCUAUUAAUUUCUGUUUUCAUUCACUCUUUUCUUUCAAGUUGUAGACUUGCUUAGUAGUGCUGGUCCAAAAUUGUAAUAAUAAUUUCAGAUAUACUUAUUCUAGCUUUCCUCUGUUAUAGAAAAAGAAUAAAAUUUGUCUGCAGUCCCACAUUUAUUUUCGCGUGCAGAGUCAUACAGCUAUAAUAAACACUAAGAGACUCCCAGACCAGAUGCCAGAGAAAGUUCCAUUGUACUCAAGACUCACUGCCUUCUGUGAAUCAACAUAGGGGUUUAAGAACACCAGUCCAACACACCGAAUUUGUUUCAUGUUUGCCCAGUACCAAGUGUAAUAGGUCUUUGACCUCUGGAUAAUAUUUGAGGAACAGCAAUAAAUACUAUUAACUCUUCUGUAUUAAAUAUUACAUGCAACAUUUCAAGGACAGAAAAGUUAACAAUGAAAGGUUUU